CACAGUUGCAGGAGCGAAUCCAUGAUCUGGAGAAGGAGAGAGAGCUGCUAAAAGAGAACUGUGAUAAACUAAUUAACAGAAAUUUGGGACGUUGCUGAAACUACAGUUAGUCCAGCUAGAGGUGGCACUGAAGUCUGACCUGACAGACCAAAACAAGAUUCUGGACAAGAUCAAAGUUGAAAGAGAAGAGGCGCCAGCAGCAGAAGAUGAGGAUCAGACUGAAUCGAUCCUCUCAGACAGUGAUGACUGCAUUGUUCCUGGCCAGUCCUCCAUGGGAAGGAAGGUGGGUAAACCAGGGAUACAGGAUAGAACCUAGCCUGUUUACCUUGUACACUUCGAUGAACCUCAGUCCGUAGAGGAUAGGAGUAUAGUACCGUUGGAUAGAAAGUACUGUAUCAAGGUUAUUGGGCUUGUUGUGUUUAUAUCAAGACCGUUGGAUCAUGAGGGUCCAGCAUCACAGGAAUAAAACAGCAACAUCCAGAUGAAAGCUGUACAUCAGCUUUGGAAAGACAAGUUUUUUCUCAACAAGUCUAGUUGCCUUUGUUUGUUUUUAUUAGAUUUGUAUUGUUUAUCUUGCCAACGCCAUUGUUUGGACGAACCUCAAGUGCUGUAGGUAUAUCUGCUUCAUGCUGAGGUUUGGUACUGAUAGCCUUUAACCAGUUUGGCAGAUGAGAUUUUUUUCUUCUUAUUGAA